UCCCUGGUGGUCUAGUGUUUAGGAUUCAGCUCUUUCACUGCUGUGGCCUGGGUUCAGUCCUUGGUCUGGGAA
rfam:Sus scrofa isolate TJ Tabasco breed Duroc chromosome 16, whole genome shotgun sequence.